UACGUAGGGUGCGAGCGUUAAUCGGAAUUACUGGGCGUAAAGCGUGCGCAGGCGGUUCGUUGUGUCGGUGGUGAAAGCCCCGGGCUUAACUCAUGGCUUGCUUCCGAUACGGGCAGACUAGAGGUAUGCAGGGGAGAACGGAAUUCCUGGUGUAGCGGUGAAAUGCGCAGAUAUCAGGAGGAACACCGGUGGCGAAGGCGGUUCUCUGGGCAUUACCUGACGCUGAGGAGCGAAAGUGUGGGGAGCGAACAGG
rnacentral:rRNA from 1 species